UUUUUAUACGACCGCAAAAAUUAAAAAAUUUUUGGUCGUAUAUUGGUAUGACGUUGGCGUCGUCGUCGUCGUCUCCGGCGUCGUCCGAAGACACAUUGGUUUUCGCACUCUAACUUUAGUUUAAGUUAAUGGAUCUCCAUGAAAUUUUACCAUAAGGUUCAAUACCACGAAAGGAAGGUUGGGAUUGAUUUUGGGGGUUAUGGUACCAACAGUUAAGGAAUUAGGGGCCAAAAAGGGGCCAAAAAUAAGCAUUUUUGUAACUUUCAGACAAUAACUUGUGUGUAAGUGUAUGGAUCUCUCUGACAUUGUACCACAAGGUUCCAUAUCACAAAGGGAAGGCUGUAAUUGAUUUUGGGGGUAAUUGCCUCAAAAUUUUAGGAAUUAGGGGCCAAAAAAGGGGCAAAAAACAAGCAUUUUUCUAGUUUCAUGACAAUAACUUGUGUGUAAGUGUUUGGAUAUUUCUGAAAUUGUACUACAAGGUUACAUAUCACAAAGGGAAAGCUGGAAUUGAGUUUGGGGGUAAUUGCCCGAAACGUUUAGGAAUUGGGGGCCAAAAAGGGGCCAAAAAUAAGCAUUUUUCUAGUUUCCAGACAAUAACUUGUGUUCAAGUGUAUGGAUCUCUCUGAAAUUGUACUGCAAGGUACCAUACCACAAAGGGAAGGCUGGGAUUGAGUUUGGGGGUGAUGAAUCAUAAGGGGGUUCAAAAAAUUUGGGGGGGGGGGGAUUUUUUUUUUUUUUUUUUUCUUUUUUUCCUUUUUUUUUUCUUUUAAAAUUUUCCAUUUUAAGUUGGUUAUUUCUGAUUUAUAUUUAAAAGCAAAUAAUAAUGAUAUGGUAGGAGAUACACACCAAACAGGAUGUGUAAAUUAUUAUAUAAUAAGUAUUGUGCAAUAGCAAGAAAUUUUCAAUUGCACAGUAUUGCACAAUAGCAAGAAAUCUUCAAUUGCACAGUAUUGCGCAAUAGCAAGAAAUCUUCAAUUUAACAGUAUUGCGCAAUAGCAAGAAAUAUCCAAUAGCACAAUAUUGCGCAAUAGCAAGAAAUUGUCAAUUGUACAGUAUUGCGCAAUAGCAAGAAAUAUUCAAUUGCACAGUAUUGUGCAAAAGAAGAUACUUCGUAUAAAUUGCUUAUUUCUUGAUCAAUUUUAAUGGGGUUUUAUUCUUGAAUUCUUGGGGUUCUUUAAUAUGCUGAAUCUAACCGUGUAUUAAUUUUUUAGAUUUUGGGCCCCGUUUUUAAAUUGGUCCACAUUGAGGUCCAAAGGGUCCAAAAUUAAACUUUGUUUGAUUUCAUCAAAAAUUGAAUUAUUGGGGUUCUUUGAUAUGCCGAAUCUAACCGUGUAUUUAGAUUUUUAAUUUUGGGUCCCUUUUUUAAAUUUGUCUACAUUAAGGUCCAAAGGGUCCAAAAUUAAACUUAGUUUGAUUUUAACAAAAAUUGAAUUCUUAGGGUUCUUUGAUAUGCUGAAUCUAAACAUGUGUUUAGAUUUUUAUACGACCGCAAAAAAAUUUUGUGGUCGUAUAUUGGUAUGACGUUGGCGUCGUCGUCGUCGUCGUCGUCGUCCGGCGUCGUCGUCGUCGUCCGGCGUCGUCGUCGUCGUCCGGCGUCGUCGUCCGAAUACACAUUGGUUUUCGCACUCUAACUUUAGUUUAAGUGAAUGGAUCUUUUUGAAAUUUGACCAUAAGGUUAAAUACCACAAAAGAAAGGUUGGGAUUGAUUUUGGGGGUUAUGGUACCAACAGUUAAGGAAUUAGGGGCCAAAAAGGGGCCAAAAAUAAGCAUUUUCUAGUUUCCAGACAAUAACUGUGGAACGGUGUAUGGAUCUCUCUGAAAUUAUACUACAAGUUUCCAUACCACAAAGGGAUGGUUAGGAUUUGCUUUGGGGGGUUAUGGCUCGAACCGUUUAGGAAUUAGGGGCAAAAAAGGGGGAAAAACAAGGUUGUCCUGGUUAAUGGACAAAUACUUUAGUACAAAACAUAAUUUAAAGCAGUGUAAGGGAGAUAAAUCAAAUACAUCAUUGAAAUUAUCUCCCUUACACUGCUUUUAAAUUAUGUAUAAAGUAAUGGUUAAUGAACAAUAAAGAUAAUUUAAAACAGUGUAAGGGAGGUAAUCCAAAUACAACGUUUUGGUUACUUCCCUUACACUGCUUUUAAAUUAUGUUUAAAGAAAUGCAUAUUUAUAAAGGCAGACCAGUAAAAAUAUCUGCAAAUGUUGCAUCUUUUUUUUUUACAAAAAAAUCCAUAUGAAGGUCCAAAGGGUCCAAAAUUAAACUUUGUUUGAUUUUAGCAAAAAUUGAAUAUAUGAGGUUCUUUGAUAUGCUGAAUCUAAACAUGUAUUUAGAUUUUUGAUUUUUGGCCCAGUUUUCAAGUUGGUCCAAAUUGGGGUCCAAAAUUAAACUUUGUUUGAUUUCAACAAAAAUUUAAUAUUUGGGGUUCUUUGAUAUGCUGAAUCUAACCAUGUAUUUAGAUUUUUUAUUUGUGGACCCCGUUAUCAAAUUGGUUCAUAUUGAGGUCAAAAGGGUCCAAAAUUAAACUUUGUUUGAUUUCAUCUGAAAUUGAAUUAUUGGGGUUCUUUGAUAUUCCAAAUCUAACCGUGUAUUUAGAUAUUUAAUUUUGGGUCCUGUUUUUUAAAUUGGUCUACAUUAAGGUCCAAAGGGUCCAAAGUUAAACUUAGUUUGAUUUUAACAAAAAUUGAAUUCUUGGGGUUCUUUGAUAUGGUGAAUCUAAACAUGUGUUUAGAUUUUUGAUUAUGGGCCCAGUUUUCAAGUUGGUCCAAGUUGGGGUCCAAAAUUAAACUUUUUUUGAUUUCAACAAAAAUUGAAUAUAUGGGGUUCUUUGAUAUGCUGAAUCUAACCAUGAAUUUAGAUUUUUUAUUUGUGGGCCCCGCUAUCAAAUUGGUUCAUAUUGAGGUCAAAAGGGUCCAAAAUUAAACUUUGUUUGAUUUCAUCAAAAAUUGAAUUAUUGGGGUUCUUUGAUAUUCCAAAUCUAACCGUGUAUUUAGAUUUUUGUCGAGCCUUCGACUUUUGUUGAAAAAGCGAGACAUAGUGAUC